rnacentral:rRNA from 1 species
AGUUUGAUCCUGGCUCAGGAUGAACGCUAGCUACAGGCUUAACACAUGCAAGUCGAGGGGCAGCAUGGUCUUAGCUUGCUAAGGCCGAUGGCGACCGGCGCACGGGUGAGUAACACGUAUCCAACCUGCCGUCUACUCUUGGACAGCCUUCUGAAAGGAAGAUUAAUACAAGAUGGCAUCAUGAGUCCGCAUGUUCACAUGAUUAAAGGUAUUCCGGUAGACGAUGGGGAUGCGUUCCAUUAGAUAGUAGGCGGGGUAACGGCCCACCUAGUCUUCGAUGGAUAGGGGUUCUGAGAGGAAGGUCCCCCACAUUGGAACUGAGACACGGUCCAAACUCCUACGGGAGGCAGCAGUGAGGAAUAUUGGUCAAUGGGCGAGAGCCUGAACCAGCCAAGUAGCGUGAAGGAUGACUGCCCUAUGGGUUGUAAACUUCUUUUAUAAAGGAAUAAAGUCGGGUAUGCAUACCCGUUUGCAUGUACUUUAUGAAUAAGGAUCGGCUAACUCCGUGCCAGCAGCCGCGGUAAUACGGAGGAUCCGAGCGUUAUCCGGAUUUAUUGGGUUUAAAGGGAGCGUAGAUGGAUGUUUAAGUCAGUUGUGAAAGUUUGCGGCUCAACCGUAAAAUUGCAGUUGAUACUGGAUAUCUUGAGUGCAGUUGAGGCAGGCGGAAUUCGUGGUGUAGCGGUGAAAUGCUUAGAUAUCACGAAGAACUCCGAUUGCGAAGGCAGCCUGCUAAGCUGCAACUGACAUUGAGGCUCGAAAGUGUGGGUAUCAAACAGGAUUAGAUACCCUGGUAGUCCACACGGUAAACGAUGAAUACUCGCUGUUUGCGAUAUACAGCAAGCGGCCAAGCGAAAGCGUUAAGUAUUCCACCUGGGGAGUACGCCGGCAACGGUGAAACUCAAAGGAAUUGACGGGGGCCCGCACAAGCGGAGGAACAUGUGGUUUAAUUCGAUGAUACGCGAGGAACCUUACCCGGGCUUAAAUUGCAGAUGAAUUACGGUGAAAGCCGUAAGCCGCAAGGCAUCUGUGAAGGUGCUGCAUGGUUGUCGUCAGCUCGUGCCGUGAGGUGUCGGCUUAAGUGCCAUAACGAGCGCAACCCUUAUCGAUAGUUACCAUCAGGUUAUGCUGGGGACUCUGUCGAGACUGCCGUCGUAAGAUGUGAGGAAGGUGG